rnacentral:rRNA from 1 species
UAUUUUAGUCUUGUUAGAGGAACCUGUUUUAUAAUCGAUAAACCACGAAUAUCUCACUUAUUUUAAAUAGUUUGUAUACCGUCAUUAUUAGAUAACUUUCAAAAAAUUAGUUAUUAAAAUUAAAUAAAAUUAAAUAUAUUAGAUCAAGGUGCAGUUAAUAAAUAAGAAAAAAUGGGUUACAAUAAAAUUUAUUUAAAACGAAUUAUAUAAAUGUAAAAAUAUAUGAAGGAGGAUUUAAUUGUAAUUUUUUUAUAAGAUAAUAAUAUGAUAAUAGCUCUAAAAUAU